CAAGAGCCCUCCCUGCUUGCCCAGUUGCUGCAGCAGCAGCUCCUGUCUGGCUUUCUUCUGUACUCCUGGAAGGAGAAAACAGGGAGAAAGAGAAGGCAAUGGCUGACCCUUAGAAAUAAAUUGUCAUCCUAUAAGAGUAAGUUGACAGUGCAGACCAUGCAGGAAAAACAACAUCAACAACAACAACAAAAAACUGUUGGGCUCUCCCACCUUUACGUUUUUUUUUUUUUUUUGGCUGAAAAGUAAAAGCCACAGUUUGGCUUCUCUACAGUUUUAUCCACUCACUCGUUAAAUUCCGAUGGUCACUGUGCAUGCCCUGUGGGUCACAAGCUUCUUCUCUGGGGCUCCUCAUCCUUUCUCCAUUGGGCUCCCACCUGAGUGGAGAGUUUAGGCUCUUCCUGAGUGGAGAGUUUCCUCCUCCGUGUUCCCACAGUUCUUUCUCUAAACUCAAUCUGUGUCUAGGUGUUUCUUCAUGAUUUUUGUUUUUUUUAAUCAGACGGGAGCUCUUUGGGGUUAGGGAUCAUGUGCAUGCCUUCUUUGUCUCAGCUUCUUGGUCAUACAUAGGAGGUGCUCACUAAACAUCUGCUGAGUGACUGAUGGAAAAAUGAAUGC
rnacentral:lncRNA from 1 species